CCGGGGCCGGGGCCGGAGCCGGGGCCGGGGCCGGGGCCGGGGCCGGGGCCGGGGCCGUCAGUGACAGAUCCUGAAUUAGUCUCAGUGCUUUUUUUGUCUGCGCUGCGUCGCCUCAGCUUCAUUACAGGCCUAACAAAGGCUGCUUUCUUGCGGUGCUAGGGGAACUUCAUUCCCUUCCAGAGUUCAGUGACCCCUCGUUGCCAUAACGACCGGGGCCUGGGACUGUGUCUCUGUAAACGGGUGACACUGACGUCGUUUUGCAGUUUUCAAGUUCUAAAACUUAUACAAAAUGCAGGACCGAUUCAGGUUCAGCUUUUAAUCUAGUCGCGUCUGAUUGGUGAAUUGCACCCAAAGGCUAGAAUGGAAUCCGCCCAACGCGGUUAGUGAUCAGGGAAGGCCGAGACGCCGACGCCAAGCCCACGGAAAAGGUCGCUGCCUAAUCAAUUUUGUGAGUCAGAGCGUCGGCAGCACCUUGUCUCUCUCCAAGCCUCCAUCCCAAACCGCAGACUGUCUUCGUGAUGUAGCAGUAGGUGACCUGAGUUCUGCACAUGUAAAUUUGCAGCGAAGGGAAAGGAGAACAAGUGAAGAUAACAGUGCAGAACAUCUGGGAGGGGCAGCGGAUUCGAUCGGAUCCUCCACUGAACACGGCUUUGCUUGUGCAGGAAGAGCUGAUCUCUGUGAGACCAGACGGAAGGACGAGGAUUUCGCUGAGGUUUAAGAGAACAGUUUGGAUCUACACUGUAAAAAAUCACUGUAAAGACUACACAAUGAUUGUACAGCAAGACUGUAACAAAACUACAGUAAAACUGCAUUAGAAUUACAGUAAAAUCAACAGAACUACAGUAAACUAGUAACAAAAUUGCAGUAAAACUGUAAUAUAAUUCUGCCAAACUGUUACAGUAAAACUAACAAAAUUCCGGUAAAGAAAAUGUGUAAAAAACCCCACAAUUUUAACUCCUCACAAUAAUUCUUCCACACAUGAAUCCCUCUAAUGGAAGCGCAGAGGCUUUUAAACUUCGCCUUGAGCUUUAGUUUUUCUAAACGUUUCCUCUUAGGUUGUUUAUUUCAUUUUAAACCAGCUCUGCACACACUUGACAAACGUGGAAAGUCUGAGGUGUGUAGAUGUUUUAUCCGGCCGCCGCGUCAGAACACACACUCUCUGACUGUCGCUCUCUCGGUCGUCUGGUGAAG